GAUGAAGAACGUAGCGAAAUGCGAUAAGUAGUGUGAAUUGCAGAAUUCAGUGAAUCAUCGAAUCUUUGAACGCACAUUGCGCCCUUUGGUAUUCCAAAGGGCAUGCCUGUUCGAGCGUCAUUUGUACCCUCAAGCUUUGCUUGGUGUUGGGCGUCUUGUCUCUAGCUUUGCUGGAGACUCGCCUUAAAGUAAUUGGCAGCCGGCCUACUGGUUUCGGAGCGCAGCACAAGUCGCACUCUCUAUCAGCAAAGGUCGAGCAUCCAUUAAGCCUUUUUUUCAACUUUUGACCUCGGAUCAGGUAGGGAUACCCGCUGAACUUAAGCAUAUCAAUAAGCGGAGGA
rnacentral:misc_RNA from 1 species